GUAGCAAGCCAACUGAAAGUAUGCAUAUGCAGAUUCCUGUUUCCGUAACUCACCCAGUGACUCAUAGACAGAUAAAGCCUCUCUAAUGGCAUCAUUAGCUGAAAUCUCAUGCUUUCUACGGUCUAUCUUCGGUCUACUAACAGAGGAGUUGAAAGAAUCCUCAAGGACACAGUUCUCGUAAACCUCAGCAAAUGUAUCUUCACUGGCCAGUAGCAUCCCAAGCCUUAAAUAUGUAUGAGCAAACUG
rnacentral:misc_RNA from 1 species